rnacentral:rRNA from 1 species
UACAGAGGGAGCGAGCGUUAUCCGGAAUGAUUGGGCGUAAAGCGUCUGUAGGUGGUUAGAAGUCUACUGUCAAAUACCAAGGCUCAACCCCGGGCCUGCAGUCGAUACGGGCAGACUAGAGUGCGGUAGGGGAGGACUGGAAUUCCUGGUGUAGCGGUGAAAUGCGCAGAUAUCAGGAGGAACACCUGUGGUGUAGACGGCUUUCGUGGACCAUAGCUGACGCUGAGACACGAAAGCGUGGGUAGCAAACAGG